rnacentral:rRNA from 1 species
AAAGGAAAGGAAUGCUUAGUGGCGGACUGGUGAGUAACGCGUGAGGAACCUGCCUUUCAGAGGGGGACAACAGCUGGAAACGGCUGCUAAUACCGCAUGACGCAUUCGGAUGGCAUCAUCUGAAUGCCAAAGAUUUAUCGCUGAAAGAUGGCCUCGCGUCUGAUUAGAUAGUUGGCGGGGUAACGGCCCACCAAGUCGACGAUCAGUAGCCGGACUGAGAGGUUGACCGGCCACAUUGGGACUGAGAUACGGCCCAGACUCC